UUGAAUGAAAGAGAGAAAUGAGAUUAGUAGAGAUUGCGAGUUUAGAGAUUGUGAAGAAAGAGAGAACUUCUCAUUUCAUACUCGAAAAAGAACUAUGCUUACAAUCUAUUUAAAGACUAGACAAAGAGAAUAAAAUACACACAAAUAUACAAGAUAUUUUGCUUCCCACUUGGAGAUGAAAGCGACGUGAGCUCGAGGUUGU
rnacentral:lncRNA from 1 species